AAAAAUAGCCAAAUCUUGUACCCAGUCCUUGGUGAAUUGGAUGUGCGCCUCCAGAGAUUUAUAAUUGCGAAAUUGGUGCGCCGUGUAUGCGCUGACUCCACAGACAAGGUACGAGAGUAGAUCAUGCUAAGUCAAUAGCGGUUUGGUCUUCAGGGUUUCUACUCCACGGCAGUAUUUCAUACGGGUCCACAUUUCAGCAAUCAAGUACCAUCUCUUUGCAUCUGGACACAAUCUGUCUCUAUACCGUCAUUUUUCUUUUGAGCUACGUUUCAGAAUGGUUCGUGGCAAUCUUGUUUUGAUUCGCAGCCUGCCAAGAUGGUGCUGCGCUCCCACAAUGCAUUGCGACAUUACGUCAACUCCAAAGCCCUUUGCGUGCAGGAGUAUGCGCAUGUGCAUUGCCAUGGUGGUUUAAAAAUAAAGAUAUAAUGAAAAGCAAUUAAUAAAAAUUUAAUAUUUAAACAUUCCCACAAAUGUGCAAUGAACGUGCAAAAACUCUCUUUAUUAGUUGUUGCUGUUUCUUUCUUUCUUUUUUCUUUCUUUUUUUUUUUUUGAAAAAUAACGACCUCUCUGAGGCGCGAAUUCCGACAGUGAGAGGAACGGCCGGAUACAGGAGACGGGAAGAAACAAGCCGAUUAUGUUCGCGUUAAUUAAGUGGUUGGAAGAUGUAAAAUUCUCAAUCCUGCCAACUGAACAUAUACGAGAUUUUAAUGAGGAUGAAUAAUUAGCCGGCAUGGAGGAAACGGACCUUUAUUUGGUGGAGUGGCGACAAGAAGCCAAAAGACGGGUGGCCGGUCUAUGAAGCCUCCAUCAUCAAGCUAGCAGAAAUCCCACCUCUCCUUCUGGCUACAGAGUACUUACUUACCAAGCCCAUGAAAUCGAAUGCAGAUCUUCCUGAUGUGAGAUUUACAUAAAUAUGUCAAAGUCUCAACCUCAUGCUGCCCUCCCCCAUCCUCCUAAAGUAAGUAUUUGUUGUUGUAGUUUUUUAUGCAGUGUCUGUGUCACAUGCUAAUCAUAAUUAUUGAAAUAACUGUUUUCUAACAGAUUUUCCAAAACACUAGUUAUGUUUGUUGUCAUUCAGACUAAUACUACUGCUUAGACAUUGCUUAGUGGUCAUGCAUGUUUGACAAGCUUGUUAUGAUACCAAAACAGUAGGCCUAUCACAAUAAUCGAUAUAUUGACUUAACACACAAUACAUGU
ensembl:lncRNA